GUUUCUUCCAUUGUUAAAUUCCCUUUCCCUUACAUACUUUGAUAGAUUUUGGGUGGUUGGUCUUAUUCUACACUGCCUCAUGUCUGUGCUUGGUAUGUAUUGUGGUCAGGGCUCAGUGUGUUUCAGUGUGCAGCAGUGGCUCUGAACGUCACCGUGCGAGAGCUGGAGAGAAGUGUGGCCCCCAGUCAGAUGAGACUCCACACACUACGCAAGAAGCAGAUAAUGGAAACACUGGAGUGUCUGCUGCAAAUGGGAAGCUACCAUCACACUCUGGAUAAUCGCUGUGGGGAGAAUGCAAAUGAAGUGGGAAGCAAAAUGGAGUCCUACAAGUUUAUGCAAGGAGUGGUCUCCAGACCCAGUAAGGACCUGAGCCCUAGGACCAUGCCUCAGGACUACCUGGCUUGAUGACUCCUUGCUGUCCC